rnacentral:rRNA from 1 species
GUGAGUCAUGAAUCUUUGAACGCACCUUGCGCUCCUUGGUAUUCCGAGGAGCAUGCCUGUUUGAGUGUCAUUAAUAUACAUAUAUCAAGCCUUCUCUUGUAGAAGGGUUUGGAUGUGGGGGUUUGCUGGCCUCUUAAUCUUAAGAGUUCAGCUCUCCUGAAAUGCAUUAGCAGAACAACCUUAUGUUCAUUGGUGUGAUAACUAUCUACGCUAUUGAAUGUUGAGGGGGAAGUUCAGCUUUCUAACGGUCCCUUGGACAACUCAUCAUUAAUGUGACCUCAAAUCAGGUAGGACUACCCGCUGAACUUAAGCAUAUCAAUAAGCGGAGG